CUAGUAACGGCGAGUGAAGAGGGAAGAGCCCAAGAUUGAAAGCUGGCGUCUUCGGCGUCCGCAUUGUAAUCUCAAGAAGUGUUUUCCGCUUCGGACCAUGCCUAAGUCCCUUGGAAAAGGGCAUCAUAGAGGGUGAUAAUCCCGUACAUGGCAUGGAGCGCCCGAAGCUUUGUGAUACGCUUUCUAAGAGUCGAGUUGUUUGGGAAUGCAGCUCAAAAUGGGUGGUAAAUGCCAUCUAAGGCUAAAUAUUGGGGAGAGACCGAUAGCGAACAAGUACAGUGAUGGAAAGAUGAAAAGAACUUUGAAAAGAGAGUUAAACAGUACGUGAAAUUGCCAAAAGGGAAGGGUAGGAGGUCAGAGAUGCGGCCUGGGAUUCAGCCUUGCUUUUGCUUGGUGUUUUUCCCAGAUUGCAGGCCAACGUCGGUUUUGGGCACUGGAGAAGGGUGGGAGGAACGUGGCACCCCUCGGGGUGCGUUAU
rnacentral:rRNA from 1 species